rnacentral:misc_RNA from 1 species
CGAGUAAGAAAACUUAACCGUUUUUGGAGGUGACUGGAUUCUGGCCGCGAUGCGUUGCAACUGCCGCAACUACUCAGGGGCGGAGAUUUCGAUGUUAUGCUAUGAAGUAAAACCCACGUGUGCUCAUAAACUAUGAAGAAGGGAGGACACGAAGCAUCGUUAAAGACAACACCGGGCAGCUCUCUCCUCGUAAUCUCCAAACUCCGAAUUAUCUGCUUAAAUUUGCUAUUAUUGCCUUACAAAGGUACGGUCUUUUCUGUGCUCUGCUUCUUACCAGUGUUCACUGAUUUGGUUUUGGAUUUAAUUUUUGUACAUGGAGAUUCCACUGUUGUGUUACCGAAGUGUCUCAUUGGAUCAAAUUCGGAGUAGUUGUAGCUUGCCUUCCUCUGUCUCAGAUUACAGGUGUUUUAUUAAGCAGAAAACUUUAUCUUCUGUGUAUCGUUUUUCUUUAAAUAGAAGAAAAUGGAGGAAUCCCUUCGCCAAGAUUCGGUGUUGUUCACUGCAUCGAGGGCUACAACCACGCCCUAAGCCGAAACCUUCAAAAUUUGACGCUGAUGUAGAAGAAGAAACUGAUUUGCGAGAUACCCAAAUAAAAAAGCCCAGUGCCAGAGUUUGUAGUCAGUUAGAGAAAUUAGUUCUUUAUGGAAGGUACAGAGAGGCACUUGAGUUGUUUGAGAUCUUUGAGCAGUAUGGUGGGUUUGAUAUGGGCAGUAGCACGUAUGAUGCAUUAGUCAGUGCGUGUAUAGGGUUAAGAUCUAUCCCUGGAGUGAAGAGAGUGUUUAAUUACAUGAUGAGUAAUGGAUUCGAACCUGAUCAGUACAUGAGAAACAGAAUAUUGCUUAUGCAUGUUAAAUGUGGGAUGAUGAUCCAUGCACGUAAAUGGUUUGACGAAAUGCACGAGAGGAAUCUGGUUUCUUGGAACACAAUCAUUGCUGGGCAUGUGGACACAGGGGACUAUGUAGAAGCUUUUAGGCUGUUUCUGAUUAUGUGGGAGGAGUUUUCUGAUGCUGGGUCUCGGACUUUUGCCACCAUGAUCCAGGCGUCUGCUGGGUUGGGAUUGAUUUCUGCAGGGAAACAGUUACAUUCGUGCACUUUGAAGAUGGGAGUUGGGGAUGAUAUAUUUGUUUCUUGUGCUCUGAUUGAUAUGUAUAGCAAGUGUGGGAGCAUUGAAGAUGCUCAUUAUGUCUUUGAUGAAAUGCCAGAGAAAACUACAGUGGGGUGGAAUACUAUCAUUGCAGGUUAUGCGCUUCAUGGCUACAGUGAAGAAGCUUUGGACAUGUACUAUGAUAUGCGUGAUUCCGGUGUUAGAAUGGACCAUUUCACAUUUUCUAUAAUAGUGAGAAUAUGUGCAAGAUUAGCUUCUUUGGAUUAUGCUAAGCAAGCCCAUGCUGCUCUUGUUCGUCAUGGUUUUGGAUCUGAUAUUGUAGCAAACACAGCUCUUGUUGACUUUUAUAGCAAAUGGGGAAGAAUAGAAGAUGCUCGGAAUGUUUUCAACAAGAUGCCUUGCAAGAAUGUCAUCUCCUGGAAUGCCUUGAUUGCUGGAUAUGGUAAUCAUGGUCGGGGAGAUGAUGCAAUUGAGUUGUUUGAGCUGAUGCUUCGACAAAGGAUGAGACCAAACCAUGUCACUUUUCUUGCUGUUUUAUCUGCUUGUAGCUAUUCUGGUUUAUCAGAGCAUGGGUGGGAAAUUUUUCAAGCUAUGGGUAGAGAUUACACGGUAAAGCCACGGGCAAUGCACUACGCAUGUAUGAUCGAAUUAUUAGGUAGAGAGGGGCUCUUAGAUGAAGCUUUUGCAUUGAUAAGAGGUGCUCCUUUCAAGCCUACAGCAAAUAUGUGGGCUGCACUAUUGACAGCUUGUCGUGUCCAUCAGAACUUAGAGCUUGGAAAAUUUGCAGCUGAGAAACUUUAUGGAAUGGAACCAGAGAAGCUUAAUAAUUACAUUGUGCUUUUGAAUAUAUACAACAGUUCUGGCAAGUUAAAGGAAGCUGCGGCUGUCAUCCAGACCUUGAGAAGAAAGGGUUUGAGAAUGCUUCCAGCAUGCAGUUGGAUUGAAGUUAACAAAGUGACGAAUGUUUUCCAUUCUGGAGAUAAAAGCCAUGCCCAGAGAAAGGAGAUCUAUCAAAAAGUGGAUUACUUGAUGAAAGAAAUUGCUAAGCAUGGUUAUGUUCCUGAGAAUAAAACUUUGCUUCCUGAUGUGGAUGAACAAGAACAGCGCAUAUUGUCAUACCAUAGCGAGAAAUUGGCAAUUGCUUUUGGACUGAUCAAUACCCCAUAUUGGGUGCCUUUGCAAAUUGUUCAGGGCCAUCGGCUAUGUAGCGACUGUCACAAAGCAAUUGAGUUGAUAGCUAUGGUUACCAGGAGGGAAAUUGUGGUGAAGGAUGCCAGCAGAUUCCACCAUUUUAAAGAUGGGAAUUGUUCUUGUGGAGACUAUUGGUGAUGUUAAAAUAAUUUGUGGCUGAAACUGUCAAAAAUUUUUGUCCAUUGUUCUAUAUUUUCCUCCUCUGGAGAUAGUAUAAGCAUUAGUUGUAAACUCUUUCUUUUCCUGGUAAAUAAAAGGAAAGUGGACCUCUUU